GUCCUCAGAGUUCAACUCUUAUAUCUUGUUAGGGGCCCAGUACAAAAAAUUAGGGUUAAGCAGGUUGUAGGUUUAGCUGGUAGUUCUGUUUGAGAGGUGCAUAGAAUAAGGUGUCCUUUUUCCUGCAUGGAAGAAAAACGUUUAUUGCCUCAGAAAGAGCCAAAGGAAAGAGAAGGAAUGGAGACCGUGGGAAAAAAAUAAAGAGAUGAUAACACCAACUACCACUCUCUCCUGAAUCCCUGCCAAUCCCCCAGAUCUGUAUUGAAAAGAAAGGGUGGGGAACAGGUAGGGGGAAGGAGGAUCUUCUGUUUUUGGAAAAACCUGCUCAAUAACUGCUGCACAUCAUGAGACACUUGUUCCUGAAGAUUUGAUAGUACAUGGAAUCUUUCUUCCCAAAAAGAUGCUGGUUGAUGCUCCGGAAAGCUACCAUGUUCCUUUUUCCUCAUGUCAUUUAUGUGGAGUGAUAAUCAUUUGAUAAGCCAUGGAGUUAUAUAAUAAAUCAAUUAGCUCUGCAGUGUUUCCCCAGAUUUCUGCCCGCCAGUCUGUUCCCUCCGGAACUUAUUCAGUUUUUACAAACAGUAACAAAUAGCUCUCAGGAUUCUUAUUUUAUUUUAAGUAAUUUGUAGGGAAAAUGUUUUCUCUUCUUCCCACCAGAAAUGGAAUUUCCUCUCUCCUCCAUUAUUCUGGCCUGAGGCAUUGGGUAGAUGAGGUUCACUCCUGCACUGUCAGCGGGUUCUCUGCAUGCAAACACAUGGAAUGUAUGUUCAGUAGCUUGCAGCAAUGCAAGAAUAGCACCAGAAGCUUUUCCACUGGAAAAAGAUGAAUCUUACCUCCAUGAAAAACUUGUGAUUCUUACAUCUAAUGUCAGCAGGGCAUUAGAUAUCGUGUUUGAAGUUGUAAUGCCUUCAGGUAUAGAAAAACAAUUUUCAUGCUAUUCUUCCUCUCUUACUACCCUUUUCCUGCCCUUUCUGUAUUGAAUUGGCAUAUGAUAUCAGCCCAAAAUCUGUUUUAUCUAAAGAAGGUACAUGUAACUUCUUGAUAAUUAUUUACUGAACUUGAUAGAUUUGCAUAUUAUUUCUUUAUUUGAGUUUGGUCCAUUUUAAAUCUGCUAGAAUUAAGAGCUCCAGACAAUAACUUCUUAUUUGUGUUGUGUGAAAAAAAAACGGUCUUUACUGCUCCUUGUGGAUUUUUUUAUCAUGUAAUAUUUCCAAUUUCUGAAUGAGAGAAACGCUGAAUAGAAGUGUAGGAUAUUUCUUUUGUAUUAGUCAUUAUAUUGCAACCUCUAA